rnacentral:rRNA from 1 species
UACGGAGGGUGCAAGCAUUAAUCGGAUUUACUGGGCGUAAAGGGCGCGUAGGCGGAAGAGAAAGUUGGAUGUGAAAUCCCGGGGCUCAACCCCGGAACGGCAUCUGAUACUGCUUUUCUAGAGGCUAAAAGGAGAAAAUGGAAUUCCACAUGUAGCGGUGAAAUGCGUAGAUAUGUGGAGGAACACCGGUGGCGAAGGCGAUUUUCUAGUUUAGACCUGACGCUGAGGCGCGAAAGCUAGGGGAGCAAACAGG